UAGAUUAAGCACAGGCAGUUGUGCUUCCUGUGCAUAUGCCUUUAGGCUCAUUAAGAUCUUAACCUCAAAGAAUGGCUGCAGAAGUGGACUUAUUCUCUUUCCUGAAAACGCGAAAUAUACCUGAUAGUGUCAUCAACCAACUAAAAGAUGAUAAGAUCGACAUCAACGUCAUAGGUGUUAUGACAGAUGAGGAGUUAGGACAGUAUAUCGUAAGAUAUGGGGACCGACUUGCACUCAGAGCAUUUUGUCGUCAAAGAACUGUAACAAAUGAAAAGUCAGGGAGGAGUGGAGACAGUGAAGUCCGCUUUCAUGCAGAGAGUAAGAGACAGGCUCGGGGAACAACGGAAAACUCCUGCCGACAGACAAACAGUUGGCAACAUUGUUGGCAAUAAACAUGCAGCCAAAGCUACCCGGCGGAUUGAAAUGGGAUGGCUCCACUUUGAUAACGGCACUUAUCACCAGAUCAAAACAAGAAAUGGAGGUGGAACACGGCACCUGUCAGUGGAGAAAUCAAUAACUAUGGGUGAACUGCUGGAGACGGGCAAGGGCUUGUUUUUUCCAAAUGGAUAUUCAUCUAAAGGACCAGUGGAAGACUUCGAGUUUGAUAUUCGUGAUUUUAGUCACAAUGCAGUAUCCCCUGAAGUCACAGUGAGCCAGCUGUACGAGCAGACUAAGAUACGAAUGCUGCGCAUCUACACAACCUCCAAGGCUAAAGACGUAAUACUUCUCUCUGAUGCAUCAUCGGACUUCGAGCCCACAGAUGAGAGGCCAAUGAAGACUAGGACAAUGCAGAGACAAUCCUUGAGGAACAAAACCAGGAGAUGUCAUCACUGGAGGACUGGAACUGAUCAUCGAGGGGAUCAUCCAGAGAGCUCCACUGAUUUAGAUCCAGCACCCAGUGGCUGAAUGCAGGAAAACCAUGAAAAAAGAGGAGAACCAAUCAGUCAAUCAAGACCAUCAACUCCUGAGAUGAGCAACACAGAGGUCCUGCAUCCACCAUCUUCCGAUGAUGUUGGCAAUCAAACUCGGCAAUCAACAAGCAGGCAUGGAUCUGAAGACGAGUGUUUAAUGCCUGUGUCAAAUCAAGAUCCAGACCAGUUGUUAAAUGACGAGUUGGAUUCCCCUCUUGCCCUUGCCAUCCAAGCAUCUCUUGAGGACUUUGAAGUAAACUUUGGACCUGUUUGUGGUGAUGAUGGUGAUAAUCAAGACUCCACCAGUAUGCAGCACUCUACACUGAAUGAUGGACCUGUAUCAUCAAGCAGUCUUCCAGCAUCACCAGACCCAUUUGAAAAAGAACUCCUUGUGAAAUUAAGACGAGUAAACAUAGUUGAUGAUGUCCUUAAUAUCUUCAUGGAACCAAAAAUACUGAAUGCUAAUCUAAAAAUGGAGUUUACAAAUGAGAAAGCUGUGGACAGUGAUGGUGUGUCAAGAGAGGUAUACUCUGCGUUCUGGGAACAUUUCUUGGAACAGUGU